rnacentral:rRNA from 1 species
UAGUCCACGCUGUAAACGAUGAUUACUCGAUAUUGGCUUUUUAGUCAGUGUCCAAGCGAAAGCGUUAAGUAAUCCACCUGGGGAGUACGUUCGCAAGAAUGAAACUCAAAGGAAUUGACGGGGGCCCGCACAAGCGGUGGAGCAUGUGGUUUAAUUCGAUGAUACGCGAGGAACCUUACCAGGGCUUAAAUGCAGAACGACAGAGGUGGAAACACCUCCUUCUUCGGACGGUCUGCAAGGUGCUGCAUGGUUGUCGUCAGCUCGUGCCGUGAGGUGUCGGGUUAAGUCCCAUAACGAGCGCAACCCCUAUUUCUAGUUGCCAGCGGAUAAUGCCGGGGACUCUAGAGAAACUGCCAGCGUAAGCUGUGAGGAAGGUGGGGACGACGUCAAAUCAUCACGGCCUUUAUGCCUAGGGCGACACACGUGCUACAAUGGUGCAUACAGAGGGUAGCGAAGCUGCGAAGUGGAGCCAAUCUCAGAAAGUGCAUCCCAGUUCGGAUUGG